GGCCUCUGGGAGUGGCUGCCAGUGUGAAGUCCUUUGUGAAUGAGCCACAUUUUUUACUCAUUCAAGUCCCUACAGCAUAAUCACAUAGAUUAACUCACUUGGAUCGUUAAUUGUUACACUGUAAGAACUCCACAAACUUGAUCAGAGAGCUUUUUACAGUACUCAGAACUUAGGAGAGGAAAGGUGUUGAUUGGCUAGUGGAGCGUGAAGAAAGAGCGAAAUAAAAAACCAUCCAACAGCCAUAUCCCAGAGGGAGCUUGGAACCCCAGAAAGAAGUCUAAUAGUGUGCUGUUUCCUUGUCCAUCUGUGUUCAGGUCUGCAGCUCAGUACACUACUGCAGAUGCAUGUGGACCAAAGAAAGAAGGUCAAGGGAUCCAAUUAUGUUUGCAAUGAUCAAUUUCCCUAUUAAGAUUUUAAAUAUAUUUAUCCUUUUUUCAAAGCAUGUAAGAAAGUAUUUAUCAGUGAAAUGAAAAUAAAAAUGCUGAUCAGUAGUGAAGCAAAUUCACCUGG
rnacentral:lncRNA from 10 species